AUGGGAAAGUGGUGGUGUCAGAGAGCCAGGAAGGGUGUGCCUGUUUAGAGCAGGAAGAAACAAGCGGAGCGCUUGGGAAAUCAGCGGCAGCGUGUGAGCGUCGGCCACCCAAGCGGACCUUUCAGGCACCAAGAUGUUCUUUACCUGUGGCCCCAAUGAAGCUAUGGUUGUCUCAGGUUUUUGCCGUAGCCCCCCUGUCAUGAUAGCCGGAGGCCGGGUGUUCGUGAUGCCGUGCAUCCAGCAGAUCCAGAGGAUCUCACUGAAUACUCUGACCCUGAAUGUGAAAAGCGAAAAAGUUUAUACUCGGCAUGGAGUCCCCAUCUCAGUCACCGGCAUCGCCCAGGUGAAGAUCCAGGGCCAGAACAAGGAGAUGCUGGCAGCUGCUUGCCAGAUGUUCCUGGGCAAGUCAGAGCCUGAGAUUGCCCAAAUUGCCUUGGAGACACUGGAGGGGCAUCAAAGAGCAAUCAUGGCCCAUAUGACUGUAGAGGAAAUAUACAAGGACCGGCAGAAGUUCUCAGAGCAGGUCUUCAAAGUUGCCUCCUCUGACCUGGUCAAUAUGGGGAUCAGCGUGGUCAGCUACACCCUCAAAGACAUCCACGAUGACCAGGAUUACCUUCACUCUCUGGGGAAAGCCCGGACUGCUCAGGUACAGAAGGAUGCCCGGAUUGGAGAAGCUGAAGCCAAGAGGGAUGCUGGCAUCAAGGAAGCAAAGGCCAAGCAGGAGAAAUUGUCUGCUCAGUACCUGAACGAGAUUGAAAUGGCCAAAGCCCAGCGGGACUACGAACUGAAGAAGGCAACUUACGACAUCGAGGUGAACACACGGAAAGCAGAGUCGGACCUGGCCUAUCAGCUCCAGGUAGCCAAGACGAAGCAGAAGAUUGAGGAGCAGAAGAUGCAGGUGCUUGUGGUGGAGCGAACUCAGCAGAUUCAGAUACAGGAGCAGGAGAUGAUCCGUAAAGAGCGUGAGCUGGAGGCUAAGGUCAAGAAGCCCGCCGAAGCAGAGCGCUUCCGUCUGGAGAAACUGGCUGAGGCCGAAAGAACACAGCUUAUUAUGCAGGCGGAAGCCGAAGCAGAAUCAGUCAGGGUGAAGGGUGAGGCUCAGGCCUACGCUAUUGAGGCAAAGGCCCGGGCUGAUGCAGAGCAGAUGUCCAAGAAGGCAGAGGCCUUCCAGCAGUACCAAGAGGUAGCCAUGGUUGACAUGCUUCUGGAGAAGCUUCCAGAGGUGGCUGAAGAGAUCAGCAAGCCCUUGACUUCGGUGAAGAAGAUCAGAAUGGUGUCCAGUGGGGCUGGGGACGUGGGGGCUGCCAAGAUAACUGGGGAGGUGCUGGAAAUCAUGAACAAGCUGCCUGAAACCGUGGAGAAACUCACUGGCAUUAGCAUCUCUCAGUGGAGAGACUAUCAAGGCGAGGAACAAUAAUAUCAGUAAAAACCAUUUCAGCAGAAAGAAGAUGAGCAAGGCUAUACAAGCAGCCAGUAAGGUCUACUAAAAGCACGUUGGCCACUGAGAGUGUGUCAGUUGAAUCAGAAGAAACCAGGACGAAUGAACUAAAUGCUGAAGACAUGAUGGGGAGACAUCCUUCCUGAGCACGAUCUUCAUCAUCUGCCUGUGUCCAUAUAUAGAGUUCUUCCCCAUCCAGAACCCUCCCGUAAUUGCCAAACCUCUAAUGGACUGAACUGUUGCAUGUUGGCCAACAAUCCUUAAAACUGCUGAGGUCAGUCAUCCUAUCGUACAGCCAUUGUAUCCCAGUGUCAAUCCCAAUGUGUACCUGAUAGCAUCCUGACACUUGCCCGUUGCUUGCUGCUCCCAUGCCCCACCAAGUACACCGUGUUUCAUGACCACUUUGCACUCAGUUGAUUCCAGUUCUUUGUUGCCUGGACCCUUCAGGCUGCCCUGCACCUCCUGCAUGUGGCCUCUCUUGAAGGAAUUAAGAACAGAUCUGCUUCUGGAACUACCGGGAAGGCAACAAGGAUGUAGCUUGGAUGGGUGUGAGUCUGAAUUUUGUUUCAUUGAGGAUGCUUGGCACUGGAUGCUUUGCCACAAGGUCUUCUAUGGGUUUUGAGUUUAUGUAGGAUGUGUUUAGUGGCUAUUCUAAGGCAUUGCCUGGGUGAAGGCAUUUUAGAGGGUCAGUUCUAUGCUACUGACCAGUGGUUAUAAAAUCUAGUGAUGGGCAUAGCUCUUCCUAGCUCCAUAUUGCUAAAGCCACCUGUAUUUUUCAGUGUAAAUACUUCCAUGCCAAUUCAGCCUCCUUUCGCUUUGUACCAUAGUUCUUGGGUGCUACACAUGACUAAGAUUCCCUACUCAGCAAAAAUCAAAUUGUUGUUGUUGUUUUGUGGUGUUUUAAGAAAACACCCCGACACACCAAGAUCUCACUUUCAGGGAGCAUGUGUUUACAGCAGUUGGCCUGCAGUUAGUCACAUGUAUAUGAAUUCGCCAAAGUACCCCUAGAUACACACACACACAUCCUGAAGGUACAUUCCACAUUGUGCUUUGUUGUAUUUUGGACAGGUAGGCUAACGCUGUGGAAUGGAAGUUCUAGUGUGUGAUACAGAAGCAAGGUGUGUAAUGGAUAUAUUUCCCACCUUAAAAUCAACAUCUGGAUGUGCCUUAUAUCUGUGUUAGCUCCUGGAACAAUCCUACUUCACCACCAAUCCAGUAGCUGGAAGAGGGGAGCUAAUGUAUUCAUGGGCUUCUAAGAAUUGGGAUACACAAAUCAAGAGCAUCACAGAGGGGCAGGCUUUGCUGUCCUUUAUCAGUUCAGACUCUGGGUGGGAGUGUUAUAUGCUUGUAGAAAACUGGUUUUGGCCUUGGUCUAGCCUUGUCCCUUAACAUGCUAGUUUUUUGCAUGCAGGGAGCUUUUGUGCAGGAGAGCAUUCCAGCAUGGGAUCCUCUUACUGCAGUCUGAAAUGGGAACUUUAUGCCACAUGAUUAUGUGUGUAGAUCAGCCUUUACAGUCUUUGACGUGAGAAGGUUGGCCCUCCUGAGGAGCAACUGUCUAUAAACAGUAAGAAUUGGCUGUGAGGAGCCCCAUCCCACCUUCCAGUCAGAAUGGUCACCUGAAGAAGGAAUGUGUAAAGAGCCACCCCAACCUCAUCCCUUUUCUGCUGCCUGGCUGUGGUCGUUUCCUUACAUUUCAAGCUGUUACGAGCCAUGUAGAAGCUUCCGGAUUGAGUUGUAUGCGUUUUGCCCUCGUGCCGCAAAUCAUAAUUGCUCACCUGCUGCUCACUUCUAAAAUGAAACAUGCUUGAUCUGACUAUAGCUGCGCUCUGAGGGCCUAGAUUCCAUGCCCCAUAACUGUGAUGGAGAAGUCGCUUCUUUGUGCCUGUUCCUGGCUCUUGCCCUGCUUGCUGUGUAGUGAAGCCUCAGCAUGGUGCCUUGUCUAACUCUUUACCAAGGAGAAAGAGUUGCCCCCAUCUUCCUUUCCGCUGCCAAGAUCCUCCGCUUAUAAUAAAAGUAAAGAUUACUGUGUACAGCUGUCUUCUUUGUAUGUGCACCUGUGUGUCCCCCCCCCACUCUGGCUGGGGUUUCUCUUUGCCCCUGGCUUCCAAAUCUAAAUUCUGAACCAAGGAACCCCAUGUUUACAGAAACUGUAUGUCCAAACUGUACCACUUUGAAUACAAUUUCUUCAGUCUUCAAAAUUAGUCCUGUUUUGUAUGUAUAGGUAAUGAUGGAAUUCAUAUUGUCUUCAGCUCUAAUCAGGAGUUGUGCUAACCCAAAAAUGGAACAUGAAAGUGUAGGCGAGUGUGCUAGCACCACAUACACUCUCUCCAUGAGUUGGAGGGUGGCCGUUGCUGGGUGGUGGCAAGUUACAGGUGUGCCGUACUUGCCCAGGUUUAGUUUUCAUUGGAAGGAAGUCACUGGUAGCUUAUUGGUGUUCUAUAAUAUUUAAGUUUAUAUACACAUAUAUAAGCUGAUCGUAUUCCCAAUCUCUAUCUAUGGAUGUGAAAAAGUUGGACAGUGAAAACAACGGAUAAGAGAAAAAUCAACUCAUUUGAAAUGUGGUGUUGGAGGAGAGCUUUGCAUAUACCAUGGACUGCUGCAAAAAAGACAAAUAAUUGGGUGUUAGAACAAAUUAAACCAGAAUUAUCACUAGAAGUUAAAAUGAUGAAACUGAGGUUAUCAUACUUUGGACGCAUCAUGAGAAGACAUGAUUGGCUAGAAAAGAAAAUAAUACUAAGAAAAACGGAAGGGAGUAGAAAAAGAGGAAGGCCAAACAAGAGAUGGAUUGAUUCCAUAAAGGAAGCCACAAACCUGAACUUACAAGAUCUGAACAGGGUGGUUCACGACAGAUGCUCUUGGAGGUCACUGAUUCAUAGGGGCACCAUAAGUCGUAAUCGACUUGAAGGCACAUAACAACAACAAACAGGCUGAUCAUAGGUGGAGGCAUAGCUUAAACCACUCAGUAGACAGCCAUAUCCACUGCCCCAUGUCAGAUCUCUAGAGGCAGCCAGCACCCCAAAAUGCUUCCAGAGCAUACAGCUCAGCAGCUUGUUUUCUAGGUGGUCAUGCUCAAAAACUGCAGCCCGUCUCCCAAAGCGCUUUUAUUGCACUCCACACACAUCUAGCUUGCCUCCCUCUGGCUGGAGGGGGGAACUAAGGAUGAGUCAUCUUCAACAAUCUCCUAGGCACCUUGUGCCAUUUAUAGUUAACUGAAGAGGAGAUGUGCCUGGCAACUUUUCCACUUGAUGGUUGCUGAGAAAUAUUUUUGGCUCUAUGAGCUACAGCUGCCACUUCUAUGAGGCAAACUGGGGCAGUUGCCUCAGGCAGGGCAGUAGAUAAGCACCCUCCUGCCAACAAGCUUUGCCAGUUGCUGUUCACCUGCCCGGCAAGGCUUAUGACAGACAUCUCAGGAACCUCGGCCCCAUCCAAAGUCUUUCCUCGGAGCAAGCUGCUCUGGGCAAGGUGGCCUGGGAGUGUACCUGUAUUUAAAUUGUUUUAAAUUGUUUAAAAGUUUAAAGUCACUAGUAAGUCUGAACUUUAAACUAAAUUUAAAACAAUUUCUAGCCAAGGGCAAAAUGGCGGCAGUGCAGGUGCUCUGCUCUUCCAGAAUUUUAUUUAUUUAAUACAUUUAUACCCCGCCUUUCUUUUCAUGAUAGAAACCCAAGGCAGCUUACAUAUGGUUCCCAGGCAGUCUCCCAUCCAGGCACUGACCCGACCUGACAGGGAGCUGACCUUAUGUGCCUUCAGACCAUAACCUCACCCGUGAGUGUGUUGUUGUUUUAACAGCAAAGCCGUUUGCCCCAUUCCCAAAUUAUGCUGUUAAAAGUCCUCAUCCUGAAACCAAGAUGUAGAUUUGUACUUGUGUAUGUAGGUCACCUCAGUGAAGUAGAGAGUCAGUUCUGCCCCCAAAUACCAAUCUGUAUCUGGCUCCACCCCCACCUCAGUCACAAGUUUUCAUUUAGCUCUGGUUGGUGAAUCUGAAGGAUGUAGUAAAAAAAGAAAUGUCUUGCAAGCCUGGAGUUUCUCCUCCCCUCCCACAGAACGUAUGUUUUGUCUACAAACUGUUCAAGGGUCAAUCCCCAUCAUCUCCAGUUUAGUAGCACUGUGCAAGGCCUCUGCAUCAGACUCUGGAGCAGCCCUGCCAAUCAGAAUAAAGACGAUGCCAGUCUCAAUGGUUUGACUUGGCGGAAGGCAGCUUCAUAUAUAACUCCCACCAGCCAGGUGCCGCACACUAGACCCACAUGGCAGGCCUGACUGUAGUUGUCUGAGGAAAAUAAGUGGUUCCAAGUUCCUGGCAAGACUAUAAUUAAUGGUUGAUGGACCCUGGCUGGCAUGAUGAGUCGCUAAUUGUAUAAGACUGAUACAGAUUAAGUUGUGGUGGACUGUUGUGCUACUGGGUGGGUUUGUAUACAAUAUUUUGCAUUGCGAAGGCAACGUAAAAACUUGCAGCAUGGGUGAGGCUACCAUAGUCUGCAGUAGCUUUUGACUAUGCAGAGGGGUAAUGGUUGGUUGCCACACUGCAGCAACUGAAUGUAAAUCAAGAGCUGGGAGGCAGCAAUACCUGCCUCAUCUUGAGGCCCUGACAUUUCCAAAAGAUUGUGCCAUAAAAUAAAAGGGAGAUGUGCAAAUUAUGCAGGGAACACAAUUGUCUGUGCUGAGUAGGGGUGGCUGUCUUUCCUUGGUGUGAUCUCUUUUCCUACCCUGCAGCACAGCACCUGCUGCUGUCACCCUAGAACAAGGGUGGGAGAAUCUCAGGCCUAGGAGCCAAAUGUGGUUCUUAAAACUACUCUUUUUGUCCUCUCCCCAGGCCACACCCCUCACCAGCCCUGCUUUGCACCCUCCUUGAGUGGUUUUGCCUGGCUGGAAUGCAUCCUUCAGCGCUUAUAAUGCUUCUUGCAAGUCUGGAUGGAGAAUACAGAAGGAUGUGUGACUAACCUACUGUACAAAGAUAAAAUUCACAUUUAUUGCUCUGCUCACUUUUACCUCUGGCCCUACACGCCACUGGCAUGUGGCCCCCAGAAGGUUCCUAAUUGAAGGAAUGUGGCUCUCAGACUGAAACAUCCUAGAGCAAGAGUGGAAAGAGUUCAGGCUUCUUAUAUCUGUUUUCUCCUUACAACCUCAAGAUCUACCAACCAGAGUCAGAUGCAAAUGACAUAACAGUUAAAAUUCAACUCUGAUCACAUUCUGAGUUUAGGAUUUUUUGUCUAGUACCAGCAAUGAUCUAAGUUCAGUUUUGUCCUUUCACGCAAAAGUCCAUUCCUGGUUCAUUUCCUUCAUUUCAGCAGCUGAAUCGAAAGCCAUAUUGCUGUUGCUAUUAUUAAUUUUAAUUCAUUAAUUUGUUCAUCUAUUUGUAUGCUGCUUUUCCACAAAAUUGUGCCCAAAGCAGCUCUCAAUAUGUCAAAUGAACAGCAAAUGACAAUUCAAACAACAUAUUAAAACAAUUACAAAUAAGCACAUCAAUAAGCACAUACAUCAUUUAAAAAACCAAUCCAAUAAAACAAUUGGGAGGGUUGAUUUUUAGUUUUGUAUUUAAAAAAAAUACCCUUGCCAAUCUGCUGCAGAUCACUCAGAAAUCUACCAGUGGAUCUGAGUCUACCUUCUGCACACCCCUGCCCUUUGUUUAACUGCCUUUUACUCCUGGCUUUUCCUUCCACUGCUAACCCUGAUUGUGUCUAUUGUCCAUUGUUUUCCCGGAUCCAGCAGCUGCAAAGGUCACUGGCAGCCACAUCUGGCCUCCAGUCACACUGUGCUUACCCAACAGGGCUGCACCCUGCUUAUUGGGAUGAUGAGUUAGUCUGGCUGGAGCUCUGUGUAUAUGCAUGCACGUGUGCGUGCAGCUGUUUAACUACAGUCCAGUGACUUAGACGCCAGCUGGAAGGAGCAGCCGAUUUCACAGCAGCCCUGUGAAACGGUGAUGACUGGAAUGUGACAAAUGUGGCAUCACAUGACAGCAGCAGGGAACAAAGAAGCUUCUUUCCUCUGCUUCCAGAGUCUGAGUCACAGCCCGCACAGGCCCUACCAUUCGGCAGAGUGAGGCAAUUGCCUCAGGCAGCAGAGGCAUCCUCCAGCUGUUCCUGCCAAGAUCCCCAGUCAUUUCCCAUUGCAACCACUAGGGAUGUAAAAAGGCAGCGGUUUCCAUUCUGAGCUGUGUUUGUCACAAUCAGCGCUGUUUCUGUUCCGCUGCUUGAAACAUUACUUGUCUUGCUGUUUGCUAUUUAACUUAACUUAUGGAAUUAUUUACGUAACCUACAUUCAUUUCAGUGUAAAGGAAGCAUCAAAACUAGAGAAAGCAGAGUACAUAGAGUGGUGGGCUUCCUUUUAAUCUGUAGAAGAAAACUUUUUUUAAAAAAAAAAUGCAGCUUUUCUUCCCCUCCAUUGUAGCCAGAGCUAACACUCUCAGAUCGCCCAGGGCUCUCCUGUUUUUGGCCCAGUUGUUGAGUCUAACACUCCUGCUGAUCAGAUCCAGCUCUACCAUUGAGGCAGAGUGAGGUGGCAGAUACUGUAACUGAAGGGAGAAUGAUGGCAACGUGCAAAAGAGAGCUGUGUGUGUCCCCCCCAACAGCCUGCCCUGCACCCGCUAAGCUAGCCUACUGCUGUUAAGUAUGGUGGAGGACCCUGUCCCAUUGAGAUAAGAUUCAACUGCCAAUCCAGAUUCUAAACAUGGAAUGGGGGAGGUGCCAUUUUGUCCUUUGCCUCAGGCAGCAAAAUGUCCUGCUACUGUAGCACCAUUCUGGGUUUUUUAAAAAAUUAAAAUGGUGGCAGGGAUCUCCCAUGGCUUCCUGCUGCUGCCUGAUAACAUUGCCAGGUAAGCCCAUUAAGGCCCUCCGACAAAAGAGUGGGUCCACCAGACAGCCCUUUGCCAAGUAGCCCCAUCAAACCUGGAGCCAGAUCUGCCUGUGGGCAGGCACAGUGAAGUGAGAAGCUUCGGCUACCGGAAAACUCACCCUUCUUUACAUCACUAUUAAAAGCCAGGCCUUGAUGGCCUGGUUAGUGUACUUGAGACAAAAUGAACUCUCAACCGCACUUUUAUCUAUGAUUGUGCCUCAGUUUUUAAAAAUUCCUAAAUAAUCCGAGCCUGUUCUUCCCUUAAACAUUGAGGAUUAAGGAGCAAGACUCAGUGGUUUAGGGCGAUUCCAGACUGUCACUCUUUUCAGGUAGGAUUCAGUCACAUAUUGGCAAAUUCAGGUUGCAGAAUUAAAGCAGAUUUGGACCUUUUGCACAACGUGCUUUCCCCUCAAAUCAUAUAUUGUAAUAAGGAAAGAAAAAGAAAAAAGCACUACAAAGUGUGGAAAGUGAUAUGUUGUCUAACCUCCCAGCCAACAAAUCAGAAUGAAUGGUCUAUAAAUAGCCAAUGUCAUCUAACCUCCCCUCAAACUUUGCACUAACAAAUCAGGAUGAACGCCCAGUAAACUGGUUACCUGGAAGUGACUACAGUUAGGCAAUGUUUUACGAAUGGUCGGGGAGAGGUGGGGCUCUUUAGAUAAUGCUAUUUCAUAGAAUCAUAGAAGAGUUGAGUUGGAAGGGACCUAUAUGGCCAUUGAGGCCAAUCCCCUGCUUAAUGCAGGAAUCCAAGUUAAUUUGCUGCAUAUAAUUUCCAAAUGUGGUAGCCUAUUGUGUCUGGGGCCCUUCUGUUCAAUCUGCUGAGUCAGGCCCUGAGUUUCACCACCAAAGACGUGCCUUGACGGUACCACUGGUGGGCAGAGCUUGGAAAAGUUACUUUUUUGAACUACAACUCCCAUCAGCCCAAUCCAGUGGCCAUGCUGGCUGGGGCUGAUGGGAGUUGUAGUUCAAAAAAAGUAACUUUUCCAAGCUCUGCUGGUGGGGUAUAUUCAACCUUCGGCUUUGUUGGCCACCUUGAGAACAGGAUGCUGGACUAGAUGGGCCAUUGGCCUGAUCCAGCAGGCUCUUCUUACAUUCUUAUGUUCAUAGCUUAUCUCCUCUUUUAGAAAACAACACAGACUACCACUUUUCCAUAUCCCAGCAAAAUAUUUAAACAGGUGUAUAAUAAUAAUCUCAGUAGGGGUCAUCUGCAACCUUUUGUCUGGCAAGAUUCCCAUCCUGUGUGGUAGGCAGAGGCUCAACAGUAAAGCUUUUCUGGCUUGGAACAGCUCCAGUAGAGAAAGCUGAGCCUGUUGAACUGAGCUGUUAAAAGUGACAGGAGCUCUGCCAGAAUAAACGAACCAACACUUGCAUUUUCCAAUGGAAAAGCACAUCAAGCGAAAACAUCAAACAUUUGCAGUCUCGCAGCUUCCUUGACGCAUAGUUCUCUUCCAGCCCUGGCUGGCUCCCUUUUGUCUGUUGCAAAACACUAGUUGUCCUUAUCCAAGGGAGAAAGUAUGGUGUGCUAUCCAAAUCCCCAUAUUUAAAAUGCAAUUCAGGAGUUCUGCAAGGAAUAAUUACGGCUGCAAAUGUUUGCUAAUUCCUGUAGUUUCUGUAACUAAGUCCCCUAUUACAAAGACUGGGGGAUGUGUGCCUUCUGUACAAGGUACUCACUCCUCUAGAACUGGCACAGGACUCCAUGCCACUAUCUCAACUUCAAGCCAACAUCCACUACGUUGUUUUCCCAGAUGGGGGAAAGGUAUCUGAGAGCCUAAAAUAGCCAGUGUUGGAAAAGGUAUGGACAUAGGAAUCUGCCUUGUAUCAGGUCAAAUUGUUUAUCCAUCUUACCCAAUAUUGUCUACUCUGACUGACAGCAACUUUCCAGGGCCUCAGGCAGUGGCCUUUCUUUACCAUCACGAUAUACUGGACCACUUAACAGAAGAUUAUUGCAUACAUCACUUACCCACAUUCAUCCCUCUCUUCCCUUCUCCUUUUGUUGUAUUCCCCAUUACCUAGAUGUAAGCCCCUUGAGGGCAGAGACCUGUUUUUACCUGUGUGCUGUAAGGUGCCACAUACAGCCAUGGUGCUGCAUACAUAAUCCUUAUUUUAAUAAAUGCUAAGUAUAGCAUAUGUAAUAGGAGUUGCUGAAUUUGGAAAGGAAAGGGAGCUGGGCUGGACUGAGGAGAACAAACUUCACUAGAAGUGGGUUUGGAUUGUGUGUCCUGGAGGAGACCCAGAGAUUAGAGAGAGGUAGAAAGUCCCGGAAAAAGACAGGAUAGGAGUUUUAGGUCCCAUAAAAUGGUGGGAUCCAAUUAAGAUUGGAUUAAACUGUUCCAAAUAAUACUGCUCUCCCCUGUCACCACAGGGCUUCCUUAAGCAGCUGUAUGGCAGGCAGUGAUCCAAAAGGUGUGGCUUCACCUGGCCUGGAGAUGAAGUGUUAAAGUUACACUUGUUGAAUUUCUACCUGCAAUGCAGCUUGAGGAAAAGAAGGCAACUCUAAUUCUUUGCGGGUUGAGGGAGUUUAAGAAAAGUGUCUAUAUUAAUUUAUAUCUUUAUAUCAGGAUUGAUGGGAUAGUCUUAUUGUUAAUGUCAGCUGGCAAUCUUAUUUGUUGGUUUUAAUAAUAAUAAUAUGGAUGGAUGGACUGUCUUCAAGUCGAUUCCAACUUAUGGCUACCCUAUGAAUAGGGUUUUCAUGGUAAGCGGUAUUCAGAGGGGGUUUACCAUUGCCUCCCUCUGAGGCUAGUCCUCCCCAGCUGGCCAGGGUCUGCUCAGCUUGCCUCAGCUGCACAAGCCAGCCCCUUCCUUAUCCGCAAAUGCCAGCUGGGGGGCAACUGGGCUCCUUGGGACUCUGCAGCUUGCCCACGGCUGCACAGGUGGCCGGGCAUGUAACCCCUGAGCCACUCACUGUGGGGUGAUCUUUAACUGCCCCUUGACACCCAGGAGACUUGAAGCGGGGACUUGAACUCAGACUCUGGACUCCCAGCCAUGCUCUCCUCCCCACUGUGCUAUACCAGCUAAUAAUAAUAAUAAUAAUAAUAAUAAUAAUAAUACUUUCUUUUCUGUAAUGUUUGCAAAAUAAAAAUUAAAAACAAAA